UUGGUAAGUCAGAUGUGAAAGGCUGCGGCUUAACCGUAGAUGUGCAUUUGAUACUGCUGAUCUUGAGUGCGAGAGAGGGUAGUGGAAUUCCCAGUGUAGCGGUGAAAUGCGUAGAUAUUGGGAAGAACACCAGUAGCGAAGGCGGCUACCUGGCUCGUAACUGACGCUAAGGCGCGAAAGCGUGGGGAUCAAACAGGAUUAGAUACCCUGGUAGUCCACGCUGUAAACGAUGGGCACUAGGUGUUGGUCUCAUUAUUGGGACCAGUGCCGCAGCAAACGCAAUAAGUGCCCCGCCUGGGGAGUACGAUCGCAAGGUUGAAACUCAAAGGAAUUGACGGGGGCCCGCACAAGCGGUGGAGCAUGUGGUUUAAUUCGAUGCAACGCGCAGAACCUUACCGGGGUUUGACAUCCCGCUAACCGCCACAGAGAUGUGGUUUGGUAGCAAUACCUGGCGGGACAGGUGCUGCAUGGCUGUCGUCAGCUCGUGUCGUGAGAUGUUGGGUUAAGUCCCGCAACGAGCGCAACCCUUGCCUCUAGUUACCAUCAAGUAAAGUUGGGGACUCUAGAGGGACUGCCGGUGACAAACUGGAGGAAGGUGGGGAUGACGUCAAGUCCUCAUGGCCCUUACAUCCCGGGCUACACACGUGCUACAAUGGCCGGUACAACGAGUCGCGAAACUGUGAGGUGGAGCCAAUCUCUAAAAACCGGUCUCAGUUCGGAUUGCAGUCUGCAACUCGACUGCAUGAAGUCGGA
rnacentral:rRNA from 1 species